rnacentral:rRNA from 1 species
AUUGAACGCUGGCGGCAUGCCUUACACAUGCAAGUCGAACGGCAGCACGGGAGCAAUCCUGGUGGCGAGUGGCGAACGGGUGAGUAAUACAUCGGAACGUGCCCAGUCGUGGGGGAUAGCCCGGCGAAAGCCGGAUUAAUACCGCAUACGACCUACGGGUGAAAGCGGGGGAGUCGCAAGACCUCGCGCAAUUGGAGCGG